GAGACUCUAGUAAUAAAAAUUGCACUACCUUGUCAAGGUCAGAAUUGUGGGUUUAAAUCCCACGAAUCUCU
rnacentral:tRNA from 1 species